UCUACCACAUGGCGAAGAGUGGAGGAAAUUCCCAGCAGCAUAUGGCCCAGGCCUUGCAGCAGUGUGGAGGUCCAACUUGCAGCUAUGAUGGACAGUUGCAUGGAAGCUCAGACUCUCACUGAGUGAAUGCCUCAAAUGAUUCCAAUCUCUGCUUUUCUGCCCAGAAGACUUGUAGGGUCUCCCAGUUUCUGUGUCCUUACCAAGGAACACAGAGUGCCUUGACCACUCUGUGACCCAGACAGCUGUAUUUCUUUUGCAGGCUUGAAACCAAGCAGAGGCCUUUAACAUUCCCAGGCACUGAUAAGGUGUCUAGGUUGUUGCCCAAAACAUCAAAUGAAACUAGCCCUGGCCCUGAGCCAAUUUCCUUAAACACUCAUAUAAACUCCAUACCCUGACUCCCUCAAUGCAGACAUACCUAAGUAGGACAUCCGUUUUCUCUAGUCUGUUGCAAGGAUCUGCUGCAGUCCAUGCUGUAUGUAUUUCUCCUAAUAAAUGCUUUGGACUGAUCA